AAUCUCCGCUUGCAGAUCUGGCUUUGGAGGAAAGAGAGGCUGCCCUCACCGAAGAUGUCCCUGGGAUUGAUUUCAGAGCUGCAAUCCUGCUGUUGCCGAUCCUGUUCAGGGAGAAAAAUGACAUUCUCAUCAUACUUGGAGAGGAUCAGCCUGGUUGUAGCGCUAUCCUAUUGCAUGCAGAGGGAGUUUGAAAG